UACGUAGGUGGCAAGCGUUAUCCGGAAUUAUUGGGCGUAAAGCGCGCGCAGGUGGUUCUUAAGUCUGAUGUGAAAGCCCACGGCUCAACCGUGGAGGUCAUUGGAAACUGGGAGACUUGAGUGCAGAAGAGGAAAGUGGAAUUCCAUGGUGUAGCGGUGAAAUGCGUAGAGAUAUGGAGGAACACCAGUGGCGAAGGCGACUUCUGGUCUGUAACUGACACUGGAGGCGCGAAAGCGUGGGGAGCAA
rnacentral:rRNA from 1 species